rnacentral:rRNA from 1 species
ACUCCUACGGGAGGCAGCAGUGGGGAAUAUUGGGCAAUGGGCGAAAGCCUGACCCAGCGACGCCGCGUGAGGGAAGAAGGUCUUCGGAUUGUAAACCUCUCUCAGCAGGGAAGAAGAAAGUGACGGUACCUGCAGAAGAAGCCACGGCUAACUACGUGCCAGCAGCCGCGGUAAU